rnacentral:rRNA from 1 species
UACGUAGGUGGCAAGCGUUUGUCCGGAAUUAUUGGGCGUAAAGCGCGCGCAGGCGGUCCUUUAAGUCUGAUGUGAAAGCCCACGGCUCAACCCCGGUUCGCAUUGGAAACUGUGUAGCUUGGAGUGCAGGAGAGGAAAGUGGUAUUCCACGUGUAGCGGUGAAAUGGCGUAGAGAUGUGGAGGAACACCAGGUGGCGAAGGCGACUUUCUGGCCUGUAACUGACACUGGAGGC